rnacentral:rRNA from 1 species
UACGGAGGAUGCGAGCGUUAUCCGGAUUUAUUGGGCGUAAAGCGUCCGCAGCCGGUUUAUUAAGUGUGAAAUUAAAGCCCGGGGCUUAACCCCGGUUCGUUUCACAAACUGAUAGACUAGAGUUUAGUAGAGGCAAGUGGAAUUUCUAGUGUAGCGGUGGAAUGCGUAGAUAUUAGAAGGAACACCAGUGGCGAAGGCGACUUGCUGGGCUAAUACUGACGGUCAGGGACGAAAGCGUGGGGAGCAAAUA